AGGUUGUAAUUAUGAUGAUCUCCCUCAUAGAAAUGUGAUGAGAAGCUACUCAUAACAAAGACUGUAAAAAUUGUGAACAUGAUGAGAGAUGCAGAUAUUAAAGACUCUUUAAACUGCCUUCAUAUUUGGAUGUGGACAUUGAAGUAUUGCUGACCAAUGCCAGAGUCACAGGAAUAUCCUGCUGUGCUUUUGAUCUUCCCAUAUGACUGGAUUUCCUGAAUCAUCAUGUUACUGUGUGUGCACAUAUGUGCACACGUGAAUCUUCUGGCACAUCUCCCAGAAGCGUUAGUCCUGGGACAAAGGGUCCAUUGGUGCUUUCAGAAUGUAAUAUUGAUCACUUUGGCUUUCCUUGGCUCAGAGCCAGAUACUUUGUCUUUCACUGCACAAGAUGGCUGCCAACCCCAUAAGCUUGUGUCUCAUCAUGACAGGGCUCAGCAGAGCUUCAUGAAGAGUAGGCUAUCUUUGCACUUAGGUUGGGACCAUAUGACAAGUUCUGGCCAAUGGAUUGUGAGUAAAAAUGAAGCAGUUAAGAAAUGAUGUACCUCCUACAUUUCUCUCUUCCCUUGCCUUGGAAAACUUGGAGGCCACAUGUUCCAGAUGGCAUAGAUACAAGUUAGAGGAAGACUGCCAAUCUACAUUAAGAUUUGUAUGAGAAAAUUAAACCCAUUUCACUAAGCCUUUGAGAUUUUGGCAUUUCUCCCUUAUGGCAGCUAUAUUAAUUAUCCUAAUCCAGAGAUUAAUAUUUUGAAAUGAGGUAUUGCU